rnacentral:rRNA from 1 species
UACGUAGGCAGCAAGCGUUGUUCGGAGUUACUGGGCGUAAAGAGUAUGUAGGCGGUUGGGUAAGUUUGGUGUGAAAUCUCCCGGCUUAACUGGGAGGGUGCGCUAAAGACUGCCUGGCUCGAGUGUGGGAGAGGAAAGCGGAAUUCCUGGUGUAGCGGUGAAAUGCGUAGAUAUCAGGAGGAACACCUGCGGUGUAGACGGCUUUCUGGACCACAACUGACGCUGAGGCGCGAAAGCUAGGGGAGCAAACAGG